rnacentral:rRNA from 1 species
UCGAGGAUCUUCGGCAAUGGGCGCAAGCCUGACCGAGCGACGCCGCGUGUGCGACGAAGGCCUUCGGGUUGUAAAGCACUGUCGAGGGGGAGAAAAGCCGCAAGGCGUGAUCUAUCCCUGGAGGAAGCACGGGCUAAGUUCGUGCCAGCAGCCGCGGUAAGACGAACCGUGCGAACGUUGUUCGGAAUCACUGGGCUUAAAGGGCGCGUAGGCGGGCUGCCGCGUCCGGGGUGAAAUCCCACGGCUCAACCGUGGAACGGCCUCGGAUACGGGCGGCCUCGAGGGGGGUAGGGGCAUCUGGAACUGUGAGUGGAGCGGUGAAAUGCGUUGAUAUUCACAGGAACUCCGGUGGCGAAGGCGAGGUGCUGGACCCCUUCUGACGCUGAGGCGCGAAAGCCAGGGGAGCGAACG